UACGUAGGGGGCUAGCGUUGUCCGGAAUCAUUGGGCGUAAAGCGCGCGUAGGCGGCCCGGUAAGUCCGCUGUAAAAGUCAAAGGCUCAACCUUUGAAUGUCAGUGGAUACUGCUGGGCUAGAGUCCGGAAGAGGCGAGUGGAACUCCCUGGUGUAGCGGUGGAAUGCGCAGAUAUCAGGAAGAACACCGACGGCGAAGGCAGCUCGCUGGGACGGUACUGACGCUGAGGCGCGAAAGCGUGGGGAGCGAACAGG
rnacentral:rRNA from 1 species